AGUGCUGCAGCUAACGCAUUAAGCAAUCCGCCUGGGGAGUACGGACCGCAAGGUUGAAACUCAAAGGAAUUCUCGGGGGCCCGCACAAGCGGUGGAGCAUGUGGUUUAAUUCGAAGCAAUUCGAAGAACCUUACCAGGUCUUGACAUACCAUUGAUGUGUGAAGAGAUAGAGAGUUUCCUUAGGGGACAAUGGAUACAGGUGGUGCAUGGUUGUCGUCAGCUCGUGUCGUGAGAUGUUGGGUUAAGUCCCA
rnacentral:rRNA from 1 species